AACCUUUUCAGUCCUGGUUCUUUAAAACCAUAACAACCUCCGUUAUAGGCCUGAGGUACACUUUGGCCACUCUGUCUUUGACGACCCGGAUCUCGAUCUUGCGGACCUUUCCAUCACCACCGGGGAAAGUGUUUGUUACAAGAGCCAUGGGCCAGUCGUUCCGGCAUGUACUAUCAUCUUUCAUCAAGACAACAUCACCUCUUUCGAUGUUUGGGCUGGUUUCUUGCCAUUUACAACGAAGUUGCAGUGUCUGCAAGUAUUCGCGUUUCCAACGAUUCCAGAAUUGGUCAGCCAAUCUUUGCACUUGGCGCCACUGUUGUUUAUACAGGUCCUUCUCAGUGAAUGUCCCUGGAGGAGGUGGAACACUCUGCUUCUGAGUGAGAAGCAUUGCUGGGGUAAGUAUCUGAGGGACGUCAGGAUCUGAAGAGACAGAGACAAGCGGUCUGGAGUUGAUGAUGGCCGUCACCUCCGCCAUCAGGGUGCACAGGACUUCGUGGGUCAAACUGGAGGAGGGAGUACGCAUCAGCAUUGAGUCUAGGAUUCUCCUUGCAAUUCCUAUCAUGCGUUCCCACGCACCGCCCAUGUGCGAGGAGUGAGGUGGAUUGAAAUGCCAUGUACAUCCGCGAUUGUUGGUGUAUCUCUGAACUUCUGACUUCGACAAAACUUUUUGGAACUCCAACUCUUUGCAAGCACCAACGAAAUUGGUUCCACAGUCUGAGUAUAGGUGUUCAGAAGGACCUCGGAACGCAAAGAAUCUUCUCAAGGAGUUGAUGAACGAAGAGAUGUCUAAAGACUCUAUCACUUCUAUGUGGACUGCACGUGUGCUCAUGCAAGUGAAGAGAACGGCCCAACGCUUACUCUGAGCAAUACCUCCUCUUGUGCGCCUGGCUAUCACGGCCCAAGGACCGAAAAUGUCCACACCAGUGUAGGUAAAGGGUGGUGAAGUGCUUAGUCUCUCUUGCGGCAGGUCUGACAUCUUUUGUUUCUCUCUUUUCCCACGAAGCUUUCGACAGGUGACACAUCCGUGAAGAACAGUACUCACGCAUCGCUUGCCGCCAACUAGCCAUAUGCCAGCAGCUCGAAUGGCACCUUCUGUGAUGGUACGACCUUGAUGCUCGACCUGCUCAUGAUAGUGUUUGAUGAGCAACGUGGAUACAUGGUGUUUGCCUGGCAGAAUGACGGGAUGCCUUUCUUUGUCGCUUAAGUCAGCUAAUGUCAACCUGCCUCCAACCUUUAGCAGACCAUCUGCAUCUAUGAUCGGGUUGAGUUUCGUUAGAGCGCUUCUCUUGGAAACAUCGGCUCCCUUGGAGAGAGCAUCUAGCUCUUCAAGGAAAGAAGCUUGUUGCACAGCAAGAAGAAUCACUGUAGUUGCCUUGGACAACUCGUCAGCUGUGAGAGGUUUAGGGCACCAAUGCCAACCAUUACAUCCAUUGGUUCCUCGGCUGCUUGCCUUAAAGGAACAAACCACAUGGAUGAGUGUUGCAACUCCUCUCCGUAUGGACUUCCAGGAAGAGAAUUUCGUGAAUCUCUCACAACCCAGCAACUUGUCCUUUUGACUUGUAACACAGGUUGUAACUUGUGGUCGUAUCUCAACAUCUGCGUCUGGGUUGAUAAACUCAAAGGUCUCUUGUUGCUCGCUGCUUGGCUGUGACUUGUAUAGAAAUGUUGGACCCGUGAACCAGUUGGUUCUGGUGAGCUGUGAGGCUUGAACGGACCUAGAAGCAUGGUCAGCUGGGUUAUGCUCCGUAGGUACAUACCUCCACUGAUUCGGUUGUGUGGACUGGCGGAUUCUCUGGACCCUGUUGUGGACAUACACAUAGAAACGUUUGGACUGAUUAUGAAUGUAGCCCAGCACCACUUUACUGUCACAGUAGAAGGUGACUGCAUUGAUUUGGAUAUCGAUCUCUUGAACGAUGAACUCAGCAAUUUCUACGGCUAGCACUGCCGCACACAGCUCCAGUCUAGGUAUGGUAGGUUCAGUUGAUGGUGCAAGUCUAGCUUUUCCAAGAAUGAAACCCACAUGAACCUGGUCGUUUGCAUCUGUUGUCUUGAGGUACGCCACUGCACCAAUUGCUUUGGUUGAAGCGUCUGAAAAGAUGCAUACCUCUUUACGACUGGCAUUGGAACAGGAGGUGGUGGUAUACGCUCGAGGGAUAUGAAGAUGUUGCAGUUCUUGAAGCGAAUUUUUCCAUGUCUCCCAAACCUUACAUUUGUCCUGAGGGAGUGGACUGUCCCAGUCGGUUCCAUCUAAGGGCAACUCUCUCAGCAACGACUUGCCUUGAAUGAUCACAGGAGCGACGAAGCCGAGAGGGUCAAAAAGACUGUUUAUGGUGGAGAGAAUCCCACGUCGUGUGAAUGGCUUGUCACUGACUGACACUUGGAAGGUGAAUGUGUCCCUUUUAACAUCCCAACUCAAUCCAAGGCUUCGCUGUGUGGGUACUGCGCUUCCAUCUAAGUAAAGAUCUUUAAUGCCCUUAGCAUGAUCUCCUGCAGGGAAGGCUUUCAAGACGUCAACGCUGUUGGACGUGAUCUUAUGUAGUCUCAGGUUUGACUCAGAGAGAGAUGCUUGGGUUCUCUGUAGCAGAGAAAUCGCCUCUUCCUCUGUGGAUGUGGAAACAAGACCAUCGUCUACAUAGAACUCGCGUUCCACAAAAUGUCUGGUGUCUGACCCAUACUGCUGUUCUCCUUCCUUUGCAGCUCUUCUGAGACAGUAUAUUGCCACAGCUGGAGAAGGACUGUUGCCGAAUACGUGAACCCUCAUCCUGUAUUCAACAAUGUCCUUGCUGGGAUCAUUAUCUCUAUACCACAGAAAGCGUUGUAUGGCAGUUUUUCCACGAUGGGUUUGAUGCUACGGGCGGUAUCCAGGAAAGCUGUCCAACUUCCUAAAGAGAGCACUUUCGAUAACUUCUGGAGCACCGUAGCAUUCAUCGAGCCUGUCCCAGACCAUUUUGAGUGCAGUAUUUGGGUUGUCGAUAUGAACUGCUCUUAGGCGCUUGACAUACACAGAAGAUUCCUUCCCGAGCCAUUUUAAAAGUAAAUCCAGCUGUUCGCUUGCAGUACUUCGCCAUGUCCAUCAUCACUGAAGACUCUGGAGGGACAACCUCUAGCAUUCUGUUCAGAAUCAGACACACUUGAAACCCAACAGUUGGUGAAAAAAAACACCUGCUGGACUUCAUCUGGACAAACCUGGGAGGUUACGUCACUGAUCUCGAGUUGCUGUUUCUCCCAUCAAACCUCAAUGGAUAGCCACAGCGACCACAGCUUUUCCAGACCCUAGCGGCUGGCGGUUGGGAGCACGCUCAGUUGCUGCUGCUCUGUUUCCUGAACAUUUCAUGAUGCUUCACAAACCUGUGAGGGGCAGUAAAAAGUGAUAUUUCCAUUGCGACCCAUGUGUGUGGACGGUGGACAGGUCUAUAUGUGUAAGGAUGCCUAUGGUGGCCCCAUGAUCGGAAGGUCGGGGGUUCGAAUCCACUGAACGGCUACCCUGAGGUACCCCUGAGCAAGGUACCGUCCCAGUGGCUGCCCACUGCUUCACUGAGUGGGUUAAAUGCAGAGUGGAAUUUCCCCACGGGGAUCAAUAAAGUAUACAUUAUUAUUAUUAGGUCUUUCCGUAUGAAUAGGUGUGUAGUGGGUUAUUGUCUGCUUCUGUGUUUAUGAAUGUGUGUAGAUGUGACACUGGUUGCUCCAUCUGCGAUGACCUCAUUGUAAUAAUGACACCAUUAUUCUCUCUAACUAAGAUUCCAUCCUUAACUUCAGAUGACAGUUGAAGCUCCUUCAGCCCCAGCAUAUGUGUGUGUGUGUGUGUGUGUGUGUGUGUGUGUGUGUGUGUGUGUGUGUCAAAGACAUAUGCCCCAGGACACACAGCUGAGCCGGCUGGUGGAGGCUAACGUUUCACUACAUAA
ensembl:lncRNA